CCUACGGGAGGCUGCAGUGGGGAAUAUUGGACAAUGGGCGCAACCUGAUCCAGCCAUGCCGCGUGAGUGACGAAGGCCUUAGGGUUGUAAAGCUCUUUUGGCGGGGACGCGGUACCCGCAGAAUAAGCUCCGGCUAACUUCGUGCCAGCAGCCGCGGUAAUACGAAGGGAGCUAGCGUUGUUCGGAAUCACUGGGCGUAAAGCGCACGUAGGCGGGUUUGUCAGUCAGGGGUGAAAUCCCGGAGCUCAACUCCGAACUGCCCUUGAUACAGCAAGCCUAGAGUCCGGAAGAGGUAGGUGGAAUUCCUAGUGUAGAGGUGAAAUUCGUAGAUAUUAGGAAGAACACCAGUGGCGAAGGCGGCCUACUGGUCGGACUGACGCUGAGGUGCGAAACGUGGGGAGCAAACAGGAUUAGAUACCCUUGUAGUC
rnacentral:rRNA from 1 species